rnacentral:rRNA from 1 species
CCUACGGGAGGCAGCAGUGGGGAAUUUUCCGCAAUGGGCGAAAGCCUGACGGAGCAAUACCGCGUGAGGGAAGACUGCCUAUGGGUUGUAAACCUCUUUUUUCAGGGAGGAAUAAAAUGACGUGUACCUGAAGAAUAAGCAUCGGCUAACUCCGUGCCAGCAGCCGCGGUAAGACGGAGGAUGCAAGUGUUAUCCGGAAUCACUGGGCGUAAAGCGUCUGUAGGUGGUUUAAUAAGUCAACUGUUAAAUCUUGAGGCUCAACUUCAAAACCGCAGUCGAAACUAUUAGACUAGAGUAUAGUAGAGGUAAAGGGAAUUUCCAGUGGAGCGGUGAAAUGCGUAGAUAUUGGAAAGAACACCGAUGGCGAAAGCACUUUACUGGGCUAUUACUAACACUCAGAGACGAAAGCUAGGGUAGCAAAUGGGAUUAGAUACCCCAGUAGUCCUAGCCGUAAACUAUGGAUACUAGAUGUUGAACAGAUCGACCUGUGCAGUAUCAAAGCUAACGCGUUAAGUAUCCCGCCUGGGAAGUAUGCUCGCAAGAGUGAAACCUUAAAGGAAUUGACGGNNGAGAGNGCGAGACGACACGAGGAGAG